GCGCCCGUGGCUCAGGGGAUAGAGCAUUGGUCUCCGAAACCAAAGGUCGGUGGUUCAAAUCCACCCGGGCGCGCCA
rnacentral:tRNA from 1 species